rnacentral:rRNA from 1 species
UAUUGGGCGUAAGAGCUCGUAGCGGUUUGUCGCGUCUGUCUUGAAUCUCCGGGGCUUAACCCCGGAUCUGCUGUGGGUACGGGCAGACUAAAUUGCGUUAAGGGAGACUGGAUUUCCUGGUGUACCGGUGGAAUGCUCAGAUUCUGGAGGAUACCGAUGGCGAAGGCAGGUCUCUGGGCUGUACUGACGCUGAGGAGCGAAAGCAUGGGGAGCGAACAGGAUUAAAUACCCUGGUAGUCCAUGCCGUAAACGUUGGGCACUGGUGUGGGGACCAUUCCACGGUUUCCGCGCCCCAUCUAACGCAUUAAGUGCCCCGCCUGGAGAGUACGGCCGCAAGGCUAAAACUCAAAGGAAUUGACGGGGGCCCACACAAGCGGCGGAAAAUGCGAAUUAAUUCAAUGCAACGCAAAGAACCUUA